ACUCCUACGGAAGGCAGCAGUGGGGAAUCUUGCACAAUGGGCGAAAGCCUGAUGCAGCAACGCCGCGUGCGGGAAGAAGGCCCUAGGGUUGUAAACCGCUUUCAGUAGGGAAGAAAAUGACGGUACCUACAGAAGAAGGUGCGGCCAACUACGUGCCAGCAGCCGCGGUAAUG
rnacentral:rRNA from 1 species